rnacentral:rRNA from 1 species
GACGAACGCUGGCGGCGUGCUUAACACAUGCUAGUCGAACGGAAAGGCCCCCAUCUUGGUGGGGGUGCUCGAGUGGCGAACGGGUGAGUAACACGUGGGUGAUCUGCCCUGUACUUCGGGAUAAGCUUGGGAAACUGGGUCUAAUACCGGAUAGGACCAUGGUUUAGUGUCUCAUGGUGGAAAGAUUAUUGUUUUGGUGCAGGAUGAGCUCGCGGCCUAUCAGCUUGUUGGUGGGGUAAUGGCCUACCAAGGCGUCGACGGGUAGCCGGCCUGAGAGGGUGGACGGCCACAUUGGGACUGAGAUACGGCACAGACUCCUACGGGAGGCAGCAGUGGGGAAUAUUGCACAAUGGGCGCAAGCCUGAUGCAGCGACGCCGCGUGGGGGAUGACGGCCGUCGGGUUGUAAACUCCUUUCGUUAGGGACGAAGCCGCACUUUUUUUGGGUGUGGUGACGGUACCUUUGUGAAGAAGCACCGGCUAACUACGUG